UUACUUUUUUCUCUGCUUGUUCUUCUUUCUCUUAUGUGUUGUUGAAUUCCUUCGUAAGUCGCUAACUCAUAUAGGUCGGUUAGGAUGUUCGGCAACUCGUGCCGCCACGCAGGUAGGACAAGUCCCGACUUUUGAUCGGCCUUUGAUAGUCAAGGUCGUCAGUCGGGCGUCCUUCCUCCGGCCAUGAGUCGGGCGCAUCCGUUGAGUCGGAAGCCGACCGACCGUAAUAAAGGAUCGGUAGUCGGGUCUCUUCCGACGCGUUCAGUC
rnacentral:lncRNA from 1 species